AACUCAAAGGAAUUGACGGGGGCCCGCACAAGCGGUGGAUGAUGUGGUUCAAUUCGAUGCAACGCGAAAAACCUUACCUACCCUUGACAUGCCAGGAAGCCCGAUGAAAGUCGGGUGUGCCCGAAAGGGAACCUGGACACAGGUGCUGCAUGGCUGUCGUCAGCUCGUGUCGUGAGAUGUUGGGUUAAGUCCCGCAACGAGCGCAACCCUUGUCAUUAGUUGCUACAUUCAGUUGGGCACUCUAAUGAGACUGCCGGUGACAAACCGGAGGAAGGUGGGGACGACGUCAAGUCCUCAUGGCCCUUAUGGGUAGGGCCACACACGUCAUACAAUGGCGCAUACAGAGGGAAGCCAACCCGCGAGGGGGAGCAAAUCCCAGAAAGUGCGUCGUAGUCCGGAUUGAAGUCUGCAACUCGACUUCAUGAAGUCGGAAUCGCUAGUAAUCGCGGAUCAGCAUGUCGCGGUGAAUACGUUCCCGGGCCUUGUACUCACCGCCCGUC
rnacentral:rRNA from 1 species